CGUGCACAACCGUUUUCGAAUCCUUCGGGAUUCGGAUUCUGGAUUUUCCUUCACCUAACCAAGCCAGUGCCGGGUUCCUAUGGACCUCGAGUUCCCUGUACUCACCUGAAUUAUGCACAAAGGUGCCUACUUACCUGCUGCAAGUGCCUGCUGAUCGACAUUAUUCGCCUAGUACCUGUAAAAAAUUAAAAAACAACAAUACAGUUUAUUAGUGUGUGAAAGAAACAAUUCAUGAAGCAUCAUACAAUGCUGAAGGUGGUUAUCGGUUGCUAUUGGUUGCGAGGUGAGAAGCCCCGCCCUCCUGGCACAUAAAUGCUGGAGCGAGCUGGGUCAGAGUCAUUUUGUCAUUGAAUUCGCCUGAUGAGAACACUGUGGGAAGGUUCGAAACGCGUCGCGACAGACCUGAAUGACAAAAUUUGAAGACAUUUAAAAAUAAACAGCCGGCAUCAUUAGGGUGGUGAUGCGUCUGAGCACAAUAUAUGUUUAUUCAAUUUUUCUUCUCCGUCCAUACAGACGUUGAGAUGUGUACUUUUAGAGUAAUAUACCCCUUAACCACAUCUAAACCUUAACCUACCAUCGGUUUUUCUUCACACACCCCUGAGAAAAACAGCCCGUGUGGCUGUAGCCCGGGUUUGGGAUUGUUUACAGAGCCUAAAAAAAUAUUUUAGACUGGCGUUGGCUUUCUGUGGGGAAGUGUUGGCUGUUGUUGUGUGAUUUGGGGGUGUGCUUGUGACUCUUGGCGGCCGGUGGACUCAGGACCGUGCACAACCGUUUUCGAAUCCUUCGGGAUUCGGAUUCUGGAUUUUCCUUCACCUAACCAAGCCAGUGCCGGGUUCCUAUGGACCUCGAGUUCCCUGUACUCACCUGAAUUAUGCACAAAGGUGCCUACUUACCUGCUGCAAGUGCCUGCUGAUCGACAUUAUUCGCCUAGUACCUGUAAAAAAUUAAAAAAACAACAAUACAGUUUAUUAGUGUGUGAAAGAAACAAUUCAUGAAGCAUCAUACAAUGCUGAAGGUGGUUAUCGGUUGCUAUUGGUUGCGAGGUGAGAAGCCCCGCCCUCCUGGCACAUAAAUGCUGGAGCGAGCUGGGUCAGAGUCAUUUUGUCAUUGAAUUCGCCUGAUGAGAACACUGUGGGAAGGUUCGAAACGCGUCGCGACAGACCUGAAUGACAAAAUUUGAAGACAUUUAAAAAUAAACAGCCGGCAUCAUUAGGGUGGUGAUGCGUCUGAGCACAAUAUAUGUUUAUUCAAUUUUUCUUCUCCGUCCAUACAGACGUUGAGAUGUGUACUUUUAGAGUAAUAUACCCCUUAACCACAUCUAAACCUUAACCUACCAUCGGUUUUUCUUCACACACCCCUGAGAAAAACAGCCCGUGUGGCUGUAGCCCGGGUUUGGGAUUUUUUACAGAGCCUAAAAAAAUAUUUUAGACUGGCGUUGGCUUUCUGUGGGGAAGUGUUGGCUGUUGUGUGUGAUUUGGGGGUGUGCUUGUGACUCUUGGCGGCCGGUGGGACUCAGGACCGUGCACAACCGUUUUCGAAUCCUUCGGGAUUCGGAUUCUGGAUUUUCCUUCACCUAACCAAGCCAGUGCCGGGUUCCUAUGGACCUCGAGUUCCCUGUACUCACCUGAAUUAUGCACAAAGGUGCCUACUUACCUGCUGCAAGUGCCUGCUGAUCGACAUUAUUCGCCUAGUACCUGUAAAAAAUUAAAAAACAACAAUACAGUUUAUUAGUGUGUGAAAGAAACAAUUCAUGAAGCAUCAUACAAUGCUGAAGGUGGUUAUCGGUUGCUAUUGGUUGCGAGGUGAGAAGCCCCGCCCUCCUGGCACAUAAAUGCUGGAGCGAGCUGGGUCAGAGUCAUUUUGUCAUUGAAUUCGCCUGAUGAGAACACUGUGGGAAGGUUCGAAACGCGUCGCGACAGACCUGAAUGACAAAAUUUGAAGACAUUUAAAAAUAAACAGCCGGCAUCAUUAGGGUGGUGAUGCGUCUGAGCACAAUAUAUGUUUAUUCAAUUUUUCUUCUCCGUCCAUACAGACGUUGAGAUGUGUACUUUUAGAGUAAUAUACCCCUUAACCACAUCUAAACCUUAACCUACCAUCGGUUUUUCUUCACACACCCCUGAGAAAAACAGCCCGUGUGGCUGUAGCCCGGGUUUGGGAUUUUUUACAGAGCCUAAAAAAAUAUUUUAGACUGGCGUUGGCUUUCUGUGGGGAAGUGUUGGCUGUUGUGUGUGAUUUGGGGGUGUGCUUGUGACUCUUGGCGGCCGGUGGGACUCAGGACCGUGCACAACCGUUUUCGAAUCCUUCGGGAUUCGGAUUCUGGAUUUUCCUUCACCUAACCAAGCCAGUGCCGGGUUCCUAUGGACCUCGAGUUCCCUGUACUCACCUGAAUUAUGCACAAAGGUGCCUACUUACCUGCUGCAAGUGCCUGCUGAUCGACAUUAUUCGCCUAGUACCUGUAAAAAAUUAAAAAACAACAAUACAGUUUAUUAGUGUGUGAAAGAAACAAUUCAUGAAGCAUCAUACAAUGCUGAAGGUGGUUAUCGGUUGCUAUUGGUUGCGAGGUGAGAAGCCCCGCCCUCCUGGCACAUAAAUGCUGGAGCGAGCUGGGUCAGAGUCAUUUUGUCAUUGAAUUCGCCUGAUGAGAACACUGUGGGAAGGUUCGAAACGCGUCGCGACAGACCUGAAUGACAAAAUUUGAAGACAUUUAAAAAUAAACAGCCGGCAUCAUUAGGGUGGUGAUGCGUCUGAGCACAAUAUAUGUUUAUUCAAUUUUUCUUCUCCGUCCAUACAGACGUUGAGAUGUGUACUUUUAGAGUAAUAUACCCCUUAACCACAUCUAAACCUUAACCUACCAUCGGUUUUUCUUCACACACCCCUGAGAAAAACAGCCCGUGUGGCUGUAGCCCGGGUUUGGGAUUUUUUACAGAGCCUAAAAAAAUAUUUUAGACUGGCGUUGGCUUUCUGUGGGGAAGUGUUGGCUGUUGUGUGUGAUUUGGGGGUGUGCUUGUGACUCUUGGCGGCCGGUGGGACUCAGGACCGUGCACAACCGUUUUCGAAUCCUUCGGGAUUCGGAUUCUGGAUUUUCCUUCACCUAACCAAGCCAGUGCCGGGUUCCUAUGGACCUCGAGUUCCCUGUACUCACCUGAAUUAUGCACAAAGGUGCCUACUUACCUGCUGCAAGUGCCUGCUGAUCGACAUUAUUCGCCUAGUACCUGUAAAAAAUUAAAAAACAACAAUACAGUUUAUUAGUGUGUGAAAGAAACAAUUCAUGAAGCAUCAUACAAUGCUGAAGGUGGUUAUCGGUUGCUAUUGGUUGCGAGGUGAGAAGCCCCGCCCUCCUGGCACAUAAAUGCUGGAGCGAGCUGGGUCAGAGUCAUUUUGUCAUUGAAUUCGCCUGAUGAGAACACUGUGGGAAGGUUCGAAACGCGUCGCGACAGACCUGAAUGACAAAAUUUGAAGACAUUUAAAAAUAAACAGCCGGCAUCAUUAGGGUGGUGAUGCGUCUGAGCACAAUAUAUGUUUAUUCAAUUUUUCUUCUCCGUCCAUACAGACGUUGAGAUGUGUACUUUUAGAGUAAUAUACCCCUUAACCACAUCUAAACCUUAACCUACCAUCGGUUUUUCUUCACACACCCCUGAGAAAAACAGCCCGUGUGGCUGUAGCCCGGGUUUGGGAUUUUUUACAGAGCCUAAAAAAAUAUUUUAGACUGGCGUUGGCUUUCUGUGGGGAAGUGUUGGCUGUUGUGUGUGAUUUGGGGGUGUGCUUGUGACUCUUGGCGGCCGGUGGGACUCAGGACCGUGCACAACCGUUUUCGAAUCCUUCGGGAUUCGGAUUCUGGAUUUUCCUUCACCUAACCAAGCCAGUGCCGGGUUCCUAUGGACCUCGAGUUCCCUGUACUCACCUGAAUUAUGCACAAAGGUGCCUACUUACCUGCUGCAAGUGCCUGCUGAUCGACAUUAUUCGCCUAGUACCUGUAAAAAAUUAAAAAACAACAAUACAGUUUAUUAGUGUGUGAAAGAAACAAUUCAUGAAGCAUCAUACAAUGCUGAAGGUGGUUAUCGGUUGCUAUUGGUUGCGAGGUGAGAAGCCCCGCCCUCCUGGCACAUAAAUGCUGGAGCGAGCUGGGUCAGAGUCAUUUUGUCAUUGAAUUCGCCUGAUGAGAACACUGUGGGAAGGUUCGAAACGCGUCGCGACAGACCUGAAUGACAAAAUUUGAAGACAUUUAAAAAUAAACAGCCGGCAUCAUUAGGGUGGUGAUGCGUCUGAGCACAAUAUAUGUUUAUUCAAUUUUUCUUCUCCGUCCAUACAGACGUUGAGAUGUGUACUUUUAGAGUAAUAUACCCCUUAACCACAUCUAAACCUUAACCUACCAUCGGUUUUUCUUCACACACCCCUGAGAAAAACAGCCCGUGUGGCUGUAGCCCGGGUUUGGGAUUUUUUACAGAGCCUAAAAAAAUAUUUUAGACUGGCGUUGGCUUUCUGUGGGGAAGUGUUGGCUGUUGUGUGUGAUUUGGGGGUGUGCUUGUGACUCUUGGCGGCCGGUGGGACUCAGGACCGUGCACAACCGUUUUCGAAUCCUUCGGGAUUCGGAUUCUGGAUUUUCCUUCACCUAACCAAGCCAGUGCCGGGUUCCUAUGGACCUCGAGUUCCCUGUACUCACCUGAAUUAUGCACAAAGGUGCCUACUUACCUGCUGCAAGUGCCUGCUGAUCGACAUUAUUCGCCUAGUACCUGUAAAAAAUUAAAAAACAACAAUACAGUUUAUUAGUGUGUGAAAGAAACAAUUCAUGAAGCAUCAUACAAUGCUGAAGGUGGUUAUCGGUUGCUAUUGGUUGCGAGGUGAGAAGCCCCGCCCUCCUGGCACAUAAAUGCUGGAGCGAGCUGGGUCAGAGUCAUUUUGUCAUUGAAUUCGCCUGAUGAGAACACUGUGGGAAGGUUCGAAACGCGUCGCGACAGACCUGAAUGACAAAAUUUGAAGACAUUUAAAAAUAAACAGCCGGCAUCAUUAGGGUGGUGAUGCGUCUGAGCACAAUAUAUGUUUAUUCAAUUUUUCUUCUCCGUCCAUACAGACGUUGAGAUGUGUACUUUUAGAGUAAUAUACCCCUUAACCACAUCUAAACCUUAACCUACCAUCGGUUUUUCUUCACACACCCCUGAGAAAAACAGCCCGUGUGGCUGUAGCCCGGGUUUGGGAUUUUUUACAGAGCCUAAAAAAAUAUUUUAGACUGGCGUUGGCUUUCUGUGGGGAAGUGUUGGCUGUUGUGUGUGAUUUGGGGGUGUGCUUGUGACUCUUGGCGGCCGGUGGGACUCAGGACCGUGCACAACCGUUUUCGAAUCCUUCGGGAUUCGGAUUCUGGAUUUUCCUUCACCUAACCAAGCCAGUGCCGGGUUCCUAUGGACCUCGAGUUCCCUGUACUCACCUGAAUUAUGCACAAAGGUGCCUACUUACCUGCUGCAAGUGCCUGCUGAUCGACAUUAUUCGCCUAGUACCUGUAAAAAAUUAAAAAACAACAAUACAGUUUAUUAGUGUGUGAAAGAAACAAUUCAUGAAGCAUCAUACAAUGCUGAAGGUGGUUAUCGGUUGCUAUUGGUUGCGAGGUGAGAAGCCCCGCCCUCCUGGCACAUAAAUGCUGGAGCGAGCUGGGUCAGAGUCAUUUUGUCAUUGAAUUCGCCUGAUGAGAACACUGUGGGAAGGUUCGAAACGCGUCGCGACAGACCUGAAUGACAAAAUUUGAAGACAUUUAAAAAUAAACAGCCGGCAUCAUUAGGGUGGUGAUGCGUCUGAGCACAAUAUAUGUUUAUUCAAUUUUUCUUCUCCGUCCAUACAGACGUUGAGAUGUGUACUUUUAGAGUAAUAUACCCCUUAACCACAUCUAAACCUUAACCUACCAUCGGUUUUUCUUCACACACCCCUGAGAAAAACAGCCCGUGUGGCUGUAGCCCGGGUUUGGGAUUUUUUACAGAGCCUAAAAAAAUAUUUUAGACUGGCGUUGGCUUUCGGUGGGGAAGUGUUGGCUGUUGUGUGUGAUUUGGGGGUGUGCUUGUGACUCUUGGCGGCCGGUGGGACUCAGGACCGUGCACAACCGUUUUCGAAUCCUUCGGGAUUCGGAUUCUGGAUUUUCCUUCACCUAACCAAGCCAGUGCCGGGUUCCUAUGGACCUCGAGUUCCCUGUACUCACCUGAAUUAUGCACAAAGGUGCCUACUUACCUGCUGCAAGUGCCUGCUGAUCGACAUUAUUCGCCUAGUACCUGUAAAAAAUUAAAAAACAACAAUACAGUUUAUUAGUGUGUGAAAGAAACAAUUCAUGAAGCAUCAUACAAUGCUGAAGGUGGUUAUCGGUUGCUAUUGGUUGCGAGGUGAGAAGCCCCGCCCUCCUGGCACAUAAAUGCUGGAGCGAGCUGGGUCAGAGUCAUUUUGUCAUUGAAUUCGCCUGAUGAGAACACUGUGGGAAGGUUCGAAACGCGUC